GACGAACGCUGGCGGCGUGCUUAACACAUGCAAGUCGAACGAAGAGCGAUGGAAGCUUGCUUCUAUCAAUCUUAGUGGCGCACGGGUGAGUAACGCGUAAUCAACCUGCCCUUCAGAGGGGGACAACAGUUGGAAACGACUGCUAAUACCGCAUACGAUCUAACCUCGGCAUCGAGGAUAGAUGAAAGGUGGCCUCUACAUGUAAGCUAUCACUGAAGGAGGGGAUUGCGUCUGAUUAGCUAGUUGGAGGGGUAACGGCCCACCAAGGCGAUGAUCAGUAGCCGGUCUGAGAGGAUGAACGGCCACAUUGGGACUGAGACACGGCCCAGACUCCUACGGGAGGCAGCAGUGGGGAAUCUUCCGCAAUGGACGAAAGUCUGACGGAGCAACGCCGCGGGAGUGAUGACGGCCUUCGGGUUGUAAAGCUCUGUUAAUCGGGACGAAAGGCCUUCUUGCGAAUAGUUAGAAGGAUUGACGGUACCGGAAUAGAAAGCCACGGCUAACUACGUG
rnacentral:rRNA from 1 species